UUGGUUAAAAGUGCUGGUCAGGGCUAUUGUAUGGGGAACCCAGAGCUGUGAUGCACACGGUGCACGGGCAGUGAUACAUGGUGUGUGGACACGUGUCACGUUUUGGAACUAGAGAGGUUUCCUGUGAACAGCUGGGGUCAGGUGUAUUAUUUUGAGCUGGGGUGAUGAUGGGUUACCAGCAGUUUGUUGCGUCACCGUGGGGACUGAUACCGAUGGCCUCGUUGAUAGUGGAAGAGUGACGGUCGGAUUUAUUGAGUUGGGGUGAUAAUGGUUACCAGCAGCUUCUGGUGUCACCGUUGACCGACACUAUAGAUGGCCUUAUUUAUGGAACAGAGUGACGGCGAGUCGAGGGUUGCAAGAACAAAGCAACACUGUCGAUGAACUUGACCUGGACUUGGUUACACGUAUUUGAAAGGAUUCUCAAUUCCAGAGACUGAUAAUUGCUUGGUGCCUGGUGUUAUUAUAUAUGAACAGUAUUACCUUAUUUCCAGUGAAUUGUUUAUAAACCACCACUAAAUAUUAAGAUUAAUAAUUAUUUAUUGAUUCUUGGUGAAAUACAAAUGUAAAAUUA